CUCCACCGCAACGCCGGUUUCCGUGCUCCGCCGGAUGUUGCUGCGAAGCUUCUUAGUGGCCCCUUCUGGGGUUCCCGAUCCGAGGAGAGAGAGGAAACAAGACUCAAAGACUGCCUCUCUACUGCCCUAGAAAAACCCCAUCGGAAGCCUGACCAUUUGAAACUUGCCUUCUGAAGCAGACACCACGAGUCUACCUUGUUCCCAGAGGCCAGACAGACCUCAGAAGCCCCUCGACGGUGCUCCUGUACCAGCUCAGAAGAAGCACCUCCAAACUGGCAUGUCCUCCCUACUCUCACCUUUUAACAACAGAGGCGGAGACCAAAGCCUGAGAUAGAAAAGAGAUACAUCCAAGGAGGCACCCCAACCCAAGUCUUCUAAAUCCUGAAUUCUCAUCACCAGUCAGGAGCGCCCUCCCUCCCUCUCGUCUGGAAGGAAAGGAAGAGCAAAAGAGAAAAUGGUUUGCGAGUCCAUCCUGGAGCACCCACAAGCCGAGGACUGCCAAGGAUCGCCAAGGAUCACCAAGGACUUCCAGUAGCCAUCAGAAGCAGGGGAGUGGCAUGGGACAAGCGGUCUCUCCCAGUCUGCACAGGAAGCAAUCCUUCCAGACACCUUGACUUCAAACUUCCUACCUCUUCCACACCUCUGGAGCUGUGGGAGAACAGAUCCAGACGGCUUCGAGACACCUCAUUGUGGUACUUUGCCCCAGCAUCCCUGGGCCAUGAACAUACUGCCAUCUGUAACGAGUGUGAUGCCUGUCUCCCACACCCAGCCCCAGGCUGUGAGCUGCUUAAAAAUGGGAACUGUUAUUCACCCUAAAUCCUCGGUACCUGGCAUGGGCUUGGCAACAUAGCAGGGCUCUGUAAAUAUUUAUUGAAAGGAUGAAUGGCAACCAAAAGUACUAAAUGAACACUGAU